rnacentral:rRNA from 1 species
UACGGGGGGGGCAAGCGUUGUUCGGAAUUACUGGGCGUAAAGGGCGCGUAGGCGGGCUGUCAAGUCUGGGGUGAAAUGCCGCGGCUCAACCGUGGAACUGCCUCAGAUACUGACGGCCUCGAGGAAGGUAGGGGCAUGCGGAACUGUAGGUGGAGCGGUGAAAUGCGUUGAUAUCUACAGGAACUCCGGUGGCGAAAGCGGCGUGCUGGACCUUUUCUGACGCUGAGGCGCGAAAGCUAGGGGAGCAAACGGG